UGGGGAAUUUUGGACAAUGGGCGAAAGCCCGAUCCAGCAAUGCCGCGGGUGUGAAGAAGGCCUUCGGGUUGUAAAGCCCUUUUUUCCGGAAAGAAAUGGCUCUGGUUAAUACCUGGGGUCGAUGACGGUAUCGGUAGAAUAAGGACCGGCCAACCACGUGCCAGCAGCCGCGGUAAUACGUAGGGUCCAAGCGUUAAUCGGAAUUACUGGGCGUAAAGCGUGCGCAGGCGGUUGUGCAAGACCGAUGUGAAAUCCCCGAGCUUAACUUGGGAAUUGCAUUGGAGACUGCACGGCUAGAGUGUGUCAGAGGGGGGUAGAAUUCCACGUGUAGCAGUGAAAUGCGUAGAGAUGUGGAGGAAUACCGAUGGCGAGGGCAGCCCCCUGGGAUAACGCUGACGCUCAUGCACGAAAGCGUGGGGAGCAAACAGG
rnacentral:rRNA from 1 species